ACGAGUAUAUAUAUAUAUAUAGACAUGAUAUAGAGACACACAUGUAGGACAUGUCUAGGCUUUAUCAUUUGUCUACGUGAUCAAAUAGAUAACAGCUUGUGUGCAAAUUUCACACUACACACACACCCACACACACGAGGCGUUAACGCCCACUUCUUCCUGCUAUUUAUAAAUAAGCCUCACUAGUAGGGAUUAUCACAUUUUUGCCCGUUCUUUCAACUGAACUCACAGACAGAAAGACUUCAGGCUGAAAUUCAAACGCAAUUGUUGACUCAAAUUCACUAUGGAAGACCAGACUGAAAAUACUUUAAGGAAACUUAUCCCUCAGAAAAGGGCUUUGAGUUACUCAACACCAAAAUGGGAUGAAGAAGGAGUUGACCAUCAAAGGUGUAAAUAUGUGAGAGAUGACGGUUCAGGGAGAGAAAUGUCCGAGAAACGAGCUUCAUCUCAGCCAACAACAAAACAAAAAAGACAUAAAGGAGACCCUAAAAACUGGGAAAUAAUGGGAAGACGAAAUAUUUU